rnacentral:rRNA from 1 species
AGAGUUUGAUCCUGGCUCAGAACGAACGCUGGCGGCGUGCUUAACACAUGCAAGUCGCGUGCGCAGUUCCUGUAGCAAUACAGGGAUGGGCGCACGGCGCACGGGUGCGUAACACGUGGGCAAUCUGCCCUUUGAUGGGGAAUAACCCGCCGAAAGGCGGGCUAAUUCCGCAUAAGAUUCCCGGAACUUCGGUUCUGGGAUUGAAAGCAGCAAUGCGUCGAAGGAGGAGCCCGCGCCCGAUUAGCUAGUUGGUGAGGUAACGGCUCACCAAGGCUAUGAUCGGUAGCUGGUCUGAGAGGAUGAUCAGCCACACUGGAACUGAGACACGGUCCAGACUCCUACGGGAGGCAGCAGUGGGGAAUCUUGCACAAUGGGCGAAAGCCUGAUGCAGCGACGCCGCGUGGGGGAUGAAGCAUUUCGGUGUGUAAACCCCUUUCGACUGGGACGAAUGCCUCGCAAGAGGAGUGACGGUACCAGUAGAAGAAGCCCCGGCUAACUACGUGCCAGCAGCCGCGGUAAGACGUAGGGGGCCAGCGUUGUUCGGAAUUACUGGGUGUAAAGGGUUCGUAGGCGGUGCGGCAAGUUGGGAGUGAAAUCUUUGGGCUCAACCCAGAGGCUGCUUCCAAAACUGCUGUGCUCGAGUGUGAGAGAGGCGCGUGGAAUUGCAGGUGUAGCGGUGAAAUGCGUAGAUAUCUGCAGGAACACCCGUGGCGAAAGCGGCGCGCUGGAUCACUACUGACGCUGAGGAACGAAAGCUAGGGGAGCAAACAGGAUUAGAUACCCUAGUAGUCC